UACGUAGGGGGCGAGCGUUGUCCGGAAUCAUUGGGCGUAAAGCGCGUGUAGGCGGCUCGGUAAGUCCGGUGUGAAACCUUGGGGCUCAACCCCAAGCCUGCACUGGAUACUGCCUCGCUUGAGUCCGGGAGGGGAGAGCGGAAUCCUAGUGUAGCGGUGAAAUGCGCAGAUAUUAGGAAGAACACCGGUGGCGAAGGCGGCUCUCUGGAACGGUACUGACGCUGAGACGCGAAAGCGUGGGGAGCGAACGAGGAAUUGAUACCCAGUACG
rnacentral:rRNA from 1 species